rnacentral:rRNA from 1 species
UACGAAGGGUGCAAGCGUUACUCGGAAUUACUGGGCGUAAAGCGUGCGUAGGUGGUUUCUUAAGUCUGCUGUGAAAGCCCCGGGCUCAACCUGGGAAUUGCAGUGGAUACUGGGAAGCUAGAGUGCGGUAGAGGGUAGUGGAAUUCCCGGUGUAGCGGUGAAAUGCGUAGAGAUCGUGAGGAACACCAGUGGCGAAGGCGGCUACCUGGACCAGCACUGACACUGAGUCACGAAAGCGUGGGGAGCAAACAGG